rnacentral:tRNA from 1 species
UGGUGUAAUGGUCAGCACACUGAGCCGGUAUUUCAGAGGUCCGUGGUUCGAUUCCCGG